UCACCCAAAACAACGGUUUAAACACAUUUGAUGGUAUUUCUUACAUGUGGGUCCCGCAUGUCAGGCAUUGCAUUUUUCAUUAAAUCCCCUGACUUUUUAAUUUUUUUUCCUUAUCCCCUCAUCUUCUUCUACAAAGCCGGCAACCACCCGCUUCGCCCGCCGCCUGUGCCGCCGACCGCCCUGCACCGCCUGCGCCUCCCGUGCGCACCGCCCGCCCUGCACCGUCGCGACGCACUGCCCGCGCCGCCGCCCGCCCUGCACUGCCUCCCGCCCGCGCCGCCUGUGUUAGACUGCUGCCGAACUGUCUCCGAUCUGUUGAGAUCCGGUAGACCUGCCCGCGCCGCCGCACACGGUCCACACGCAUGGCACCCAGCCAAAUUAAUCCCGCCCCGGAAGGUGUCCCCUGCUCGUGCUGCUCCGGCGGGAGAUAAAUCCUCGACCUACAGAGAACGUUCUAUUAAAAGUUAAAACUAGCACGAGCACAGGUCGCCGGAAAUUCCGGGCGCGGCAGUUGCGGGCGGGCGCGCGGGUGAGGGGACGGUGCCGGGCGCGGGAUAGGGAGGAGGCUCCGUUCAGUGCACCUGGACAGGGAAUGGGGCAAGCAGGCACGGGCGCUGGCGAGGAUUGCGGCAGCGGGUGCGUGCGUUCUCUGGAGGUCGAGCGAACAGAAGAGGAAGACGAGCACAGCGCGGAUCGAUGAGAAAAACCCGGAUCGUAGAAAUAAAAAAAAGUCAGGGGGUUUAACAAAAGAAUGCAACGCCGGACAUGCGGGACCCACAUGUAAGAAAUACCAUCGGAUGCGUUUAAACA